rnacentral:rRNA from 1 species
UACAGAGGUCUCAAGCGUUGUUCGGAUUCAUUGGGCGUAAAGGGUGCGUAGGCGGCGCGGUAAGUCGGGUGUGAAAUCUCGGAGCUUAACUCCGAAACUGCAUUUGAUACUGGCGUGCUUGAGGACUGGAGAGGAGACUGGAAUUCAUGGUGUAGCAGUGAAAUGCGUAGAGAUCAUGAGGAAGACCAGUGGCGAAGGCGGGUCUCUGGACAGUUCCUGACACUGAGGCACGAAGGCCAGGGGAGCAAAACGGG